rnacentral:lncRNA from 1 species
UGCAGCUCACUUUUCCUUGUUCCAUACUUUGUGUCUGAGAUUACCAACAUUGACACAGUAAUUUAUAAUUUACAUCUUGUAGCAUGUGUUCACAAUUACUUUGUAUAAAAUGCCAAUUUAUUUAUGCAUUCUCCUGUUGAAGGACCCUGGAUUGUUUUUUAUUUUUAUUUUUUUGAUAUUAUAAACAACAUUGCAACAAACUUUUGUAUGCAUCUUUUCUUGUGCCAUUCACUUUUUUAUUUCUGAGUAUUACUCCUAAUAAUAUAACUAAAACCUUGACUAUCCUGGCUGUGGGAUAUAAUCAUCUUCCUUUUUUCUCAGUUUUGCCAAACUUCUCUCCAAAAUGCCAGUCAUAAUUCAGGUCCACACUCGCAGAGUAGGAAAGUCCCUGUUGCUCUAUAUUGUUGCCAACGUGUUCUCAGGUGUUGUUAUUCUAAAGCUAUGUACAGGUAUGUCUGGGGCACGAAGAAUGAAGUGAUUAUCUCUGCAGGUCCUCCUGUUUUCAAGGAGACUUUGAAUAAAGCAGAAAUAAUGAGCACCUGAACCAAGGCAUCAACACGGGGCUGGAGAGGACUAGAAGCACUAAUAAAGUCCAAUCCACAGCUGUUAUUAAAACUGUAAGCGGGAGGAUAGAGGUCCUAUUUCAUGACUGAGGAGCUUUGGUGGAUACUACAGCCACACAUUUGGAUGGAAGGUAGACGACCGGAUAAUUCUUGUGCUCUGAAUGGAAGCAGUUUAUUGAGCUUCCUCCCACCCCAGUACAAUAAAUGAAGAGACUCACAAGAUUAAGGAGUGAUAAGAGUACACCGCUUCAAAAAAAAACAAAUCCUGUGCAAGGGGAAUAGUGAGCAAAUGAGGAAAUAAGUUACAUGCAUCUACCUCCAUGCCUCAGGCCUGAUAUAAAGAGCUCUGAAGAAACAAAAAAGACUCACGUUCAUUCCUUGCCUUUGACACUUUCCAACCAUGAAGUCUUAAGGUGGUAUUCAAUUUCAAUUUUAGUUUCUUCAUUUGUGA